AAACAUUGCACUGAGGCUAGAGAGCAGAAAAAACAAUGAAAGCACAAAAGCGGAGUCGAACUCAUUUGUCGGCUUCACUUUGAUGGACUGAAGCAAGGAACCGCUUCAAGCACCGGUUGUACACGCAGGGCCUCUCAAGGUUUCUUGCGCAUGCGCCACAUAAUUCUCGAGCUGAGAUCGGAGGACAGUAUAGUGAACUUGGGUUAUGGACAACUGUUCCUUUGUUUUCUUUUUCCCGGUAGAAGUAUGAUUCGAGGGUACAUACCCUUUCAUGUUCUGAGCCAGCUCCAGUUUAAAGAUCUGAUCUUUUUCACCCCAGAGGAGAUGUAUCCUCUGCAAAAUUUAUGCAAAACUGGAGAUGGUCAGUGUCUCAGUUCUAUGGAUGAAUGAGAUUCAUGGAUUCAUCCAAUGAAAACAGAGACAUGUGAAGAUCAAAAUGAUAAUUACCUGGGUGUAGUUAGGGAUGGAGGCAUCCUUGUUGCUGAUGACAAGAGCUUCCAAUAGCUCAGCUCUCUCUUUCCUGUUUGUGAACAUCACCUGUUGUUUGUACAUUGGAAAAAAGCUAGUUGGGUAAUAAACAGUGGCUUUCAGUUCUUGUU